rnacentral:RNase_P_RNA from 1 species
UCGGACAGUCGCGUGGUUUUUGCCAUGAGGAAAGUCCGGGCUCCGCAGGGCAAGGAUGCCGGAUAACGUCCGGCGUAGGUAACUAUAGGGAAAGUGCAACAGAAACAUUCCGCCGAACGGGCGAUUUUUCGCUGCGUGGUAAGGUUGAAAUGGUGAGGUAAGAGCUCACCGGCGGUAUGGUAACAUACCGGCCGUGUAAACCCCAUCCGGAGCAAGACCAAGAUAGGGCUUAAAAGGCGGCGGCCCGUCGCUGCCCGGGAGGUAGGUCGCAUGAGCAUAUCAGCAAUGUUAUGCCUAGAUAGAUGACUGUCUAUUACAGAACCCGGCUUAUAGAA